rnacentral:lncRNA from 1 species
UGUGGCCCUCGACAAUAAGCUAAACAUUUACAACGUAAAAGGUCCCGAUAAGAAAUAAUGAAGAACAAGUUACAAGAGAAGACAAACGAAUAGAUAAUUGCUACUACAAUGAACGAAAAAAAAGGCAGACAGAAAACUAGUACAACCUCUGGAUAAAGGGCCCUACCUUAAAUGAGACAGACAAGGUUUAAUGUCGUGCGUGUGUGUGUGUGUGCGUGUAAGUAGAUUUUUCUUUUCCCCAGAACUGAACGCAAUUGAUUGGAGGACGUUGUGUAAAUUUUGAUAGGACCAAAAUUAGAGUAUGCCAAACAGAAGAAUACUUUGUGCCUUUAUUUGAUAACCAGCACAUUCGGCAAAACUACACAAGAAAUAAAACACAACAACUAAUCUACCAACGCCUUAGUUCAACCAAUGUAUUGUAUGAUGAAAAACAUGUAUACACAACUGACACUGUCAAUCUGCUUAGCAAUGCGACAGUCAAAAUGCUUCUGAUCUUAAAGCUUAUAAAAUAUAAGGCUAAGAUUUAGCUAGCUAUAAAACCAGGAUUUAUUCACCUUUUUCUUCGGAAAACGCCUGUAACAAGUUAGAUAUAUGGAAGUUGUUUUUCACUUCCUUGUUUUAAAGUUUGAUAGCGUUUUAUUUUUUUAGUUUUUAUGAACUUCUCCUUUUUAAUCUGACUUAGAGUUCAGUAUUUUUGUUAUACGUUUUCAAUAGUUUACAUAUUGCAUGGAAUUCGAUACUGCUUUGAUGUUAGCUAGUUUUCUUACAAUGCAUCAAUUAUUUUAAAUGAACCUGGUUCAUAUGAUGUGCCUUUAUUGAUUUAGCAUUGCUCUCUGUAAAUAUGUUAUCCAUGGUUAUCGUAAGCACUUGCAUUCAGAUGAAAAUUAAUAUUACAAUUGUAAAUUGUGGAAAUAAUAGUUAUGUUCUUAUCAUUUUUGUAAAUAUACUUAAUGUGUUUUACAUUAUUACUAGUAGUGUACAUAGAAUAAAUGUCCAGAAUGAAACAAUAUUUGCUGACGCGUCAUUAGUACCACUCGUUAUAAGAAAACUUGAAGUAGCUGUUAGACUGCCGUUGUUUGGUGCAGGUUGUAUUCCCAGUAUAUUACAGAUCAUAGGAUAGAUAUCAAUACUCCUAAAUGUGUUGGUUGUAUAAUUUUCUUUGAUAUUUGGACCUCUAGCCAGAAAUAUUGGUUUCAUACUAUUUAGACGGUUGUCAUAACCAUGUGCGCCUUUCCCAUGAUACAUUGCUGCUUUUCGUUUGUUCUGAAAUGAAAAAAAAAGCAAGUGACUUUCAUUACUGUAUAACCUUGUGUUGUACAGACAAAUGACAGCGAAAAAUACAGACAGCGUUUGUCAGCUGUCUACCAUACGUGUCAAUCUGUAUUCAAAUAAUGUUUAAAAUCUAUGUUUUAUAAUUUCAUGUAUUGUAUUGGAUGCAAUUAUUUCU